rnacentral:lncRNA from 1 species
ACAGAUUAUAUUAGUAACGUUUCUUAUUUAAUACCAAGAUUACUAAUGAUUGAAAAAUGUAAUGUGACCAAUUCUAGUAAAUAGUCCAUUUUUUAAAAUAUCACACAUGAAUUAAGGUUGUGACUUCUGUUUUAAUAUAUAAGAUAUCCCAUUUGGUAUUCAAAGAUUAUCAUCAAUAUAGACAAAUAUAGAUUCUGACUGUAGGAAACAAGGUUAUGUUGUUUCAUUUCAAAUCAUAGUUUUUUUAAUUCAAUCAUAAAAAGAAGGGGUUACAUUACGCAUUUUGAGCUCCCGGUUUUGCAAAUUAGAUUCUUAAGGAAUUUUAUUUUUUUUGAAUUAUAUGAAACUACUGUCGGUGCUAUAAUGGUAAUGGACAUGUAAUCAUUAAUAUGUGAUUAUUGCUUAGAUGUUAAAUUUCAUCUUAUUUUAUCAUGGACCCCUGUCAAUAAGUUCUUAUGUACUCUAAAUGUUGAAUAAUGUUUCAGUAAUAUGUAGUAUUUCUUUUGCCCAUCUCAUUAAUAAACAAUUAGUAUAAUUCUUCAAAAUCAAAAAUAAAACUACCGUCUACCGCUAGUAUAGUAGGUUUAUGUAAAUUCUUUGACUACUGUUUUGUUUUUAUAAAGUGUCUAAAAGAGGUACUGAUAACGAAGUGUGAGGAUGAAUAAGCGAUCCAAUAUGAAAAUCUAACCUAUACUAAAAGGAGAAUAAGCUCCACAGCUAAAGUGUCCACAUCAGCAAAUUAAUUCGAGCCAAUCAGAUUUUAAAUAUUUGCCAUGUCAGCAUGACCUAAUUCUUUCCUGCAAAUUUGUCGAUCAAAAUCCCAGUUGAAAC